rnacentral:lncRNA from 1 species
UUUUAAUUCAUUGUUUGGAACCAGCAAGUACCCAACAGUUUAGUCUAAACCUAAGUUUUAACCAAGAAAGUAUUCAUUGUAUGUGCUACCAAGGAAAUACGGUGGUUUGUCAGAUAGCACACUAACUAGCGUCAGCAUUACUAAUGGUGACAGACGGUUGCAAAGCUCUAGCAAAGGACUCCCCAGUGAGUCAGAGGCCUAUCAUCCAACUGCCUGCUUACCAGCUUUCCUUCCUGUGAGUCACUUUAAGGAACGCAACUUCUUCUUUCUGUUUUCACCUUUCCUCUGCUCCAAUCAGUGGCUGUUAAAGCCACAUUAUAAUUCUGAGAAGUAUUAAUAGAUAUGACUGGGUCUCUCCAGGACAGCUCUUAGAAUGGAAGUAGGAGAAUGGACAUAAAAGAAGAUGCUCAUUUACCAAAUUGGAGAUGUCCCCUGCUAUUCUUUCUCUGAGAGCUGUUGACCAUGAGUGAGUUUGGAUAUUUUGGACCAGCAAGAUGGACCAGUGAGUAAAGGUACUUGCUGCCAAGCCUGAGGACCUGAGUUUGAUUCCCCAGGAACCAUACAGUGGAAGGAGAGAAUUGAUUCCCACAAACUGUCCUCUGACCUCCACAUGGACACUGUGAUACAUGAUGUCCACACACAAUAAAAUAUGAAAAAGGUCUAGCAUCUUCCUAUUUGAGUGUGAUUUUAUACCACCCAGCAGUGGCUGACAUCAUGGC